GACGGAGGAUGCAAGCGUUAUCCGGAAUUACUGGGCGUAAAGCGUGCGCAGGCGGUUCUUCAAGUCCGUUGUGAAAGCCCCGGGCUCAACCUGGGAAUGGCAGUGGAAACUAGGGGACUGGAAUCUGGCAGAGGGGGGUGGAAUGCCGCGUGUAGCAGUGAAAUGCGUAGAGAUGCGGCGGAACACCGAUGGCGAAGGCAGCCCCCUGGGCUGAGAUUGACGCUCAGGCACGAAAGCGUGGGGAGCAAACAGG
rnacentral:rRNA from 1 species